AUAUAUAUAUAUAUAUAUAUAUAUAUGUAUUUAUUUUUCGGAAAUGUGUGUGUUUAAAAUGUAUUGUUCAAGUCACUAUUCUGAACAAGACUUGAGAUCUCUGAAUUUGGUGAAGUAGAAAAAUAAGAACAUAGUGUAGUACUGGCCUACUAUCUGCCAUGACCUGUAGGGAGCUUACUGUGACCAGAAGUAAUUGAAUAUUGAAGCUUCUUCGGCACAGUUGUCUAUCCUUGUUAAUGUGCUAUUAAAUGCCAGUUCAUGUUAACAGUCGUUAUAUGGAGAUCCUCAACUCGUUUAGGUGACAAACAAAAUUUUACUAUGUGUGUGUGUGUGUGUGUGACUGUAUGUAUGUUUGUGUGUGUGGUAGCAAUAGUAUAAUUCUGGAAAGACUAACCAAAGUUGAAGAUUUCACAUAUGUAAUAAAUAAAUUAUUAUUAUUUUUGAAAUCACUGGAUUUCUAGAAUGAAAAUAAAAGGCUGUGCAUUUUA